rnacentral:lncRNA from 1 species
GAGUUGUCUCAUUUGCUAUCAUAACACAUCUUCUUAUUUCUAUAUUAAAGUGUUCAAGUGUUCAAUUUUAAGAACCUUCUUCAAUUGGUCUGCACUAAAAAAAAUAAUGCAAACAAUAACUAUUUAUUAUCAACAACCUUGAUAUAACAAUACUAAAAAGAACUAGCAAUACUUUUAAAUAAUCAAACAGUGCCAAAGUCGUAAAUCCACUACUAACCGUGUAUUGAAUUAAGCCCCGCC